AUUAGUGAUCUUGUGAAAUGAAACUCUCACUUUUUUGUCCCUCAAUACUUUUGAUUUGUGAUUUUCUGUCCCUUGUUUUUUACGCUUUUUUUAUGCAAUUGUUUUUCUUUGCUUCCCCUGCAUCUGUCAUUACUUGUUGCUUACUAGGAAGUAAUGAUGGAGAGUUGAUGAGCAAGACCCCAAGAACAAGAUGCAUUAGACAAUGUCAAUGUAUUGACUGUUGAAGGCUAAUAAUAAAUUGUGUCUUUGGCUUAGAACUUACUUGAAUUCUUACUUACAGGAGUAUUGCCCAAGUAUUUUAGCUCAGAGUGGUCAGUGGCUCAGUUUCGCUUGCCUGAAGGUUCUCAAUACAUUGUUGCUUUUGGUCACCAGAAGAAUACUGUGGUAAUUCUUGGAAUGGAUGGAAGGUAAGUGAGCACCAAGCUCAAAGAGGACAAACUUUAUGUAAUCCAAUAUAACUGCUUGUUACUUUGAAAUUUUCCUAUUGGCAUGCUCAAUUUUGACUUUUUAGAAAGUAUACACAUAUAUUCACCAGACUAUCAUCUGGGCUGUGGUUGGAGGGAAGAGUGGCUUCUACUGAACAACAAGCGUUUUUCAAGUUGCUUGUUGAUCAGGAGAGAGCUGCAGACCAUACAUCACAUGCAGUCAUCAGUCUUAGUAAGCUAUUCAUUGUAGAAACAUCUCCUUCUUUCUAGCAUAGGUUAAAACAUUGCAUCUGGAAGGUUGCAUGAGACAUUUUCUUUGACCACUAUAUUUUUAUUUCCCUGAUUCUUCUUUGCCUGCAACCCAUGUUUUUGCCUCUCUCUCUUCCCUCCAUCAGCCCAUGUUUCUUUUUCUUUUUUGUUUCACAUUCAUCAUAACGUUUUCUGUUAGAAAAGAAACUGGAAAUAAAAUUGUUGAUAUUCACUUGAAUUUGAAUGAUUGAAUGCAGCUUCUAUCGAUGUCAGUUCGAUGCAGUGAGCGGUGGAGAGAUGAUUCAGCUGGAGUACCACAACUUCCUUAAACCUGAAAAUACUAUGUAAUAGGGGCUUGGGUUACUUGUACGUUCUAUUUCUGGGCUAUGUAUAUAACAUUCCCUUUAUGGUUUUUAUCUUGCAUUUUACCCUUACCUAUGGAUGGCUACACAAAUCUAUUGUAAGUAUCUCAGUGUAGAUGGGUCACAAUCUAUAUAUACUGAUUAUAGUCAAUAUGAAAACAAAUUAAAGCAAACUUGUGUAGCAACUGUCUUCAUCCUAUUCAUAGUUUAAUUUCUUCUUUUCUGUGAGAUCUGAGUAGUGGCAUGUGAGAUAACAGCGUGUAAAGUUUCAUUCCAGCCUAGCACACUCUUCUUCAACUUCACCUUAUCUUCUCUUCUUCUUCAGUUUUGAUUUAUUUUUAAUUUAAUAAAAUAAUUGUUUAAUGUAUCAUUCAGGGUUCGGUUGUACAUUUUUUUUUUUAAAGAAAAAAAUGUUUAAGUGAGGGAAUACCAAUGGCAGAGUCCUAAAAUAGCUAGUGACAAGGCUCAGACUUCAAGUCCUCUGUGCUUCCCCAUGCCUUUUAUUUCCCUUUGUAUAUUGGAAAUAUAGCCCCCAAAAAAUCAAAUAUUAAAUGAGGAAGAUAAGAAAGAUGACUUAUCGUAGUAACACAAUGUGACAGAAGGAACUAGUAAAAUAUAAAUUUACUAACUAAAUAAACUAGAUGCCAUGUGUCAAAAAAAUAUUAUAGAUUUUGAAAUUGUUUAUCAGAGAUCUCAUUUCAAAAAAAAAAUUUUUUUUAAGUUAGUGAAUUUCUUCUUUUUUGCAUUUUUUUUUCUUUUUUUUUUUUUAUAAAAAAAAUCCCUCAUUUUUUGCCCUUGGAACUUCAAUCUUGCUUGGUUAGCUUAAUUCAAUGGUUUAGGGGUCAGAAAGAGGUGGUGACCAACCUGCAAAUACCACCCAACAAUGCAAUUAUGCAAGAAGAAGGGUCUGAAAGCCUGAAAGCUUGUUUGAUGAUAAACCCCAAAAAAGCUUUGGAAUACAAAGAGUGUUGGGGACAAGAAAUGAGAACGCAUCUCAAGAUGAAAUCUAAGGUCUCCAAAUUUGGUGCACUGAAAACUGUGAUUUUGACUGACUCACCUCUGACUUUUCUUUCUGCAGCAGCUUUGCCCCCAUCCACCCACCCACCCACAUGCCUACCUCCAUCGUCACACCCCACACACCCCCCCUCUAUACACCAUUUUCAUCACGCAAUCAUAGCUUCUUUUCCUUCCCUGAUAUCCCACAAUCAUCAGAUUCAUCACUCUACCUUGGACCACACACCCCUCCCAAGUAAUACAACUUUUUUUUCCCUUUUUACCCCUAUGAAUAGUCAAAGAAUUUAAUUGUAUGUCACAGACUCACAAUCAGCCAUACAGCUCCAAUGUUUCAGAGAGAAAGAAAAAAAAAAAAAAAAAAAGUACAUGGGUGGAGUGUAGCAUUGGGCCUCUUACAUAGACCAUGUGAUACUGAGUCAUAUUUACCUGACCAAAUGUAUAAAAUAAUUAACAAUCCAGAUUCACAUGGCAUAUAUAGAAAUGAAAAUGGCCCCAUUCAUAAUGUUCCUCUGAAAUUUCAUGAUACCAAUGGUGGGUCAAUAUCUGACCACUAAUUGGGGAUUUAAAACUAAUCUUCUGCCAUUAAUUUACAUCUCCAAUGAAUAAACAACUCUCAUUUUAUCAAAAAGUUUUAUUAUAUCAACUCGAAUAAUUAAAAUCCAUCAACUCUAAAUUAUUUUUUUUUAAAAGAAAAAUAAUUUGAGUGUAUGAAAUUAUUUUUUUAAAUUACAAAUUGAAUUGGUAAUUUACCAAUUCAUUUCCAUUAUAGUUAUGAAUAAAUCAUUUCGUAUACCACUAAAUAAACCCAUGAUCUAAGCCUUGAUUUAAAAAAAAAAAAUUCUAAAGUUGGUAGUGUAUACACAUUCAAAUAUAAUCUAUAUUUUUUUUUUACUUUGAUGCAAUUUAAGAAACAAUUUUUUUUUUCCAAAUAUCAAAACUAUUUUUAUUUUUCAUAAUCUAUAUUUUAAAUUAAUUAAGACUUUAAUUAUAAUUAUUUUUGAAAGUUGAUUCUUCUUUCUUUUUCGCAAAGCUCACAAGAGCAUAUAAUUUGAAAAAUAGAAAAAAUAAAAAAGAAGAAGAAAAACAAGGAAUGUUCUUAAUGAAUUUGUGUAGAAAAUUAUUUUAUAUUCAAUAAAAUUUUAAAAAUACUAAAAUAUUUAAACUUUGUUUCCAACUUCUAAAAAAAAUAAAAGAUGUGAUUACAACAUUGAAAAAUGCUUUCUCGAUUUCUAUUGAAAAAAUAGUAUGAAUUAAAUGGUGUCAAAUAUAUAUUUUUAUGUAUUCUUAUUUAAUCUAAGUCCAUAUUUUUUUGUUCAAUAUUAAGCUACAUUACCUUUUCAUUGUCCAAAAAUUAUUGCAAGCAAGAAUAGUAUUUACCUGUGCCUUUUCUUCUUCAUGAAUUCAAUGUGAACAGUAGAGAAGUCCUUUCUAAAGGAGCGGGGCAAGUUGAUUGAAACAAGAGAAUCGAGGUGGACAGCAACUACACGAAACACCACUGCAUAAGAAGCCAACAAACUAGUAUAUAAAGCCCACCAUACCCUCUUCAUUUGCAGUACCACCUCACCAUCCUCCAUUCAUAUUGCCCAUUUUCACCCACCUCUUUCUCUCUCUUUUUCUAUUUUUUCUCACCUACCCUCCUUCUCUUUCUCUCUGCCUCUCAGUUUCUCAGUCUUUCAAUGGCGCUCAAGCUCCAUGGAAUUCCCAUGUCCACAUGCACCACUCGUGUCCUCACCUGUCUCCAUGAGAAAGGCUUGGAUUUUGAGCUUGUCCCUGUUAAUCUCUUUGCAGGUGAACAUAAGCAGCCUCCUUUUCUUGCCAAGAAUGUGAGUCUCACUUCCCUCUUUCUUUCUAAUCAUCCCUCUUUAUUCUCUUUGAAGAUUUUACUUUUCUUUGGGGUUGUAUAAAUUAUGAUUUUCCUUGGUUUGGGUACAUUGUUUUUAGUGUGCAGUCUUGUCGAUUUGAUUUUGGUCUUGGUUUUGUUAUACAUAUAUGCAGCCCUUUGGACAGAUUCCAGUUCUGGAAGAUGGCGAUCUCACUCUUUUUGGUAAGUCCUCGGUUUUAAUCACUUUCCUCAUAAAAGCUUGAAAUUUGUUGUACUGUACUACCAUCAGGAUUGACAGUUCCUGAGAUUUAUUAGCUGCUUGCUUUUGAACAAAAUUUUGCUUUAAAAAAUUAAAGGAGUUUUUCUUACAAAAUCAUGCUAUUUAGUACAACAUACGAGCUGGGUCUAUGAUACUAUUAAGUAUACUAUUGCCCCAGCCUUACUGAAAAUCCCUAGUCGAUGAAGUUGGGUUACUGAAAUUAUGUAUAUGUACCAGAAUCUAGGGCAAUAACAGCAUAUUUGGCCGAGAAAUACAAGGAAACGGGGUGUGAUCUCUUGAGGCACAAUGACCUCAAAGAAGCUGCAUUGGUGAAGGUGUGGUUGGAGGUUGAAUCCCAACAAUAUCAUCCGGCAAUAUACCAGAUUGUGUACCAGUUCUUCGUGUUGCCUCUACAAGGCAAGACGGCCGAUCAGGCCAUUAUUGAUGUAAAUCUGGAGAAGUUGGGUAAGGUUCUGGAUGUGUAUGAGGCCAGGCUGGGCACCACAAAGUGCCUAGCAGGAGAUUUCUACAGCUUGGCUGAUCUUCACCACCUUUCUUACACUUACUAUUUCAUGAAGACGCCAUGGGCUUCCCUCAUAAACAGCCGUCCCAAUGUGAAGGCAUGGUGGGAGGACAUUUCCUCAAGGCCAGCUUUCAAGAAAGUGGCUGAAGGCAUGACUUUUGGUGAGAAGUGAUCGGUUUCUGAGCAGUGUGGCUCUAUGUUUUGGGGUAAUAUUAAUUGUAGUGGUUGCUGCCUCUUAAUUACGUGUAUUUAAGUGUGAGACCACGUAAUAAUUACUGAUUAUGUGUUAUGAUUUGCCCUAAAUUAAUCAGAAAUGUGGAAUUAUCUGGGGUUUCUCAUUGUGGUAAUUAAUCUGCUUGCAACCAGUUUUUGAAAGGGUUUGAUGCAUUUUUACUCCAUACUUUGCUUUAGCUAGGGUUAUGUUGGUGUCUCUAAGGCAUAAUGCUUCCAUUUUUGAGUCAUUGCAUACUCAGAUCAAAGUUUUCAAGACUUGUAGAAAAUGGGUUUUGGUAUUUUCAUGAAAGAGAAUGAAAGGGCAAAUUUCUUCACAAGGCAUGUAGUAAGGGUUUUCCCUUUCAAUCAGUCUUUUUCCUGAGAAACAAACAGAAUGUAUAUCAUGCCGUGUCAUCCACUGUGACAGUUUUCCUCUGAAGAGUUUUACUGCAGUACUUCCUAUUUAUUCCCAUUUUUACUUCCCAAACGAGGUAAACACGUACUGUACUGCAGCUCUGGUUAUUUUCAUCAUCCUUGCUUGUCCAAAGCAGCUUCACUCUUUGAACCUAUUUUUAUUGUUAUAUAUAUAUAUAUAUUAGGUCAAAUUAAUCUUCCAAUUUUCUAACUCUAAGCCCUUGCAAAGAGUUUUUGUAGUAUCAUAUGUAUCUACUAUCAGUCAAGCAGAAACUGGAUAAUGUUCUAUAUACGCUUCAAUAAUUAUGGAUCCAGCAAAGGAGAUCUUUUGUUAUGCUACGGGUCUCUACUAAAAUCUGAGGCUGGAACCCACUUCAAUUAUUCACUCAUUUUGUUCUCAUAGAACCUUCAGCCAUGUGACCCUCACCCUCCAACUAACUUUCAACCACAUCUACCACCUUUCUUUCCUUUUUAUUUUUAUUUUUUAGUUUUGACCUAAUUCCAUCUAACUCUCAAAAUGUAUUCUAAAUCAUGCAUCACAGUCUCAAAAUAUAUGUAGGCCCUUCUCUCUAGAUUCUUGAUUCUAUAGUCUUGUACAACCCAAAUUUCUUAGACUCUAGUCUGAAUAAGCUUGAUAGACAUGAUUGUGCUUAUUAUUUAAUAAUUUAAGUUUUUCUUAUAGUAAUUAAUAGUUUAAUAUGAUAUAAUAAAAUUUCUUAUCUUAAUUAAUUUGUAAAAUUAUCUAGAUGAGAUAAAUAGAUAGUCCUAAUUUUUAACUCCAAAAAUUGAUUUUUUUUCUCAAUUAUAAAUUUUCUUAAUCCAAUGCGAGAUUCAAAUAUCAAAAUAAUAGCUAGUUUCAUAAGACACUUGAUGUAUGUGGAAAACCAUCAACAAUCAUGGGUUUGCAAAACAAAGUAAUUACUAAAUCUAAAAGAAUAAGUACACAAUUUUUAUCAAAAUUUGAUACUAUCUUCUCCCAAGGGUCUUAUGUUGGCACAUAUUUACACUUGUUUUCAUGUUUGAGAUGCAACACCUUAUACCCUUUAGGAAACUCCUCAACUACUUGAUAACAUAUAAUCAACCAUUAUGAUUUGAUCUCAAAUAAGAGUUAAGCGAUUGAAAAUGUAUGUGUAGUGAGUUUGAAAUGAGAAUGAUAGAGAAAUUGAACUUUUUCAUUAGACUUUAAAUGAAGCCAUUAAGGAAGAGAUCCACUCCCAAGAUUAAUUCAAGAUGGGGAUAUAAAAAUGGUAUCUUACCAUAAUGACGUCAUCCAUCAAACUUUAUAUGAAGAAGAUAAAUCCAUUGGUUGAACUCUUUAUAGAGGAAUAAUUGACUCUUUAUCAUUAAACAAUAUAUGUUUGUUUUCAACUUGCAAAGAAUCUUAUUCUAGUGCUAUUAAAAAAAUUCUUAAAUAUUUAAAAAGAAUAAUUAAACUAUGUUUGUGAUAUCAUGCAUACUAACUUUGAUCUAAUUAACUAAUUAAAAGUGGAUUUUCCGUUUGUAAAAGUAAUGGAAAUGUAUUAGUGGUACUUAUAAUGUUUGUUUUCAAUCUUACAAAGAAUCUUAUUUUAGUGCUAUUAAAAAUAUUCUUAAAUAUUUAAAAAGAAUAAUUAAACCACGUUUGUGGUAUCAUGCAUACUAACUUUGAUCUAAUUAACUAAUUAAAAAUGGGUUGUUCCAUUUGUAAAAGUAAUGGAAACGUAUUAGUGGUACUUCUAACUUUCUAGGCCACUCACUAGGUUUUGACAUAGUGAUCGAACCUUUGAUCAAUUGAGUUGUCGUGUGCGAUAUAUUUCAUAAUGACUAAUUGAUGCAUGGUGGUUUAGACUUAGUCUUAAUUGGUUGAGGACUUGUUGAUCAGAUGUUAAUCGAUUAAGGUUCUUGCACCUUAAUGAUUACCUCCAAGUGUACUUUUAUUUAAUAGCAUGUUUCUUAGUCCAUCGCCUAAUCCACUAAUUCAGCUAAAAAUGUGCCUAAGGGCUAGUUUCACUCUAGAACUCUUAUUUAAAACUUUCCAACCUUGAGCAAUCAUUGUAGCAAUUUAUUGAAUGGUUCUCUAGAAUACUCUUAUUCCCAAACUCGCAAGUCUCAUUUAGUCUACCUUAAUCUUAGUUUAUUUAUAUAUUUGAUCCUGAAUUUUGCAAACUAGAAAGCUUACUUUAAGAAAUUCACUCUUGUAUUCAUGAAAGAGUAUACUGAAAUGUAAGGGAUCACUUGAGGGCAUUGCAAAGGCAUAUUGGAAGCUUAAAUAUAAGUGUAAAAAAAUUAAAAGCAAAAUCUUAGCACUAGUGAAUGGACCUCAAGCUUAGAUUGAUGAAAGAGAGAGUGGAUAUAGGAGUUAUAGAACCAUUAUAAGUACUUUAUUGCAUCACUCUAUCCCUAUCUCUAUUAAUUUACUUGCACUAUAUUAAUUUUUAUAAUUUGCUUUUUAAUUUUCUAAAUUUUGCAAAAGAACUAACACCGAAUUCUCCUCCCCUCUUGGGUGUCUUCCUCAAGUGAACUCAACUAAUUUGCUUUUCAAUUUUCUAAAAUCAUGAAUCAAUGUAUCAUAAAGCAAAUCCACUAAUUUAAAAAGAAUUAAUACACGGUUUUACCUUAACCAUAUGUUAUCUUCCCCUAAUAAUCUUACACCAAUCAACACAUCCAUUUGUUUUCACGUUUGCAAUGCAAUAUAUGCUCCUUAGUAAACUCCUUAGCAAUUUGAGAUAAUACAAUCAACCAUCAUAAUUUAUCCUUUAAUUAAAGUUAAGUUUUCAGGAAUAUUGGAAACACACAUGAGAAUAACGACAAUUAUUUUCGAGAGCAUGUUGUUUUUUCAAUAUAAGGAGAAAAUCUUACUAAGUCUAUCCAAAUACAUUAAUUGAAAAAAAUAUAGAAUUAGAAAAUCAUGAAAAAAAAAAAACAAAUGGGUCCAAGGUAAACCGAUGUACUCCAUUUUGUCAUGAAUAUUCACUAAAAAUUACUCAACCGUACACAAGCUUGACACACAACAUUUCCCCACUACGUAAUAGCCAUUAAAUCAAAUGAAAAAUAAAAUCUCCAACGUUAAAUUAAGUUGACACCGUGUGCAUCCCUGGUUUCAUAAUGCAGAGUGAGAUGAAACAGAAUCGAUGCACAAGUACUGGGAAAUAAAAUUACCCAUCACGAGUCUAGAAAAUGGGUUCUGAUAUUUUCACAUAAGACAAUGUUGGAGGAUUCUAGGAAAAGAAAGAGAAUGCGGGAAAGGGAAAAUUCUUCACAUGCCUACAGCAUUUACGGCAUAAAGAACGUUUUCUUUCUCAAAGCAUGUGAUCUUUUUCCUGAGAACCAAACAGAUGGCAAAAGCAAGUUCCUGCUUGUCCAAAAAAACCCUGUACUCAUUGGACUAACAAAGCCUGAAUUAAAUAUGGGCCAUUUCGUACCUUCACCAUGGCCCAUUUCUUGUGAUGUUCUUUUGAAUAAAUUUAAGAAAUUACUGUUAGAAAUCAAAUAGAUUGAAUAAAUAUUUUAAUUUAUAAAAAAAUCAUCUUAAAUAAAUAACAAAUAAUAAAUAGGAGAAGGAAAAGAGAAAGUACGUAUAUUUGCAAUGUUACAUUACCUCACCUUAUCGUUUUCCAAAACUUAUAGUAAGCAAGAAUUGGAUUUACUUCUGCCUUCUAUUCUUCAUCAAUACAAUAUGAACGGUAGAGAAGUCCCUUGUUCUAAAGGAGCCGGGCAAGUCGAUUGAAACAAGCGAAUCGAGGUGGCCUGCAACUACCCUAAACAACACUGCAUAAGAAGCCAACAAACUAGUAUAUAACGCCCACCAUACCCUCUUCAUUUUCAGUACCACCUCACCAUCCUCCAUUCAUAUCGCCCAUUUUCACCCACCUCUUUCUCUCUCUCUCUCUCUCUCUCACUCUCUCAGUUUCUCAGUCUUUCAAUGGCGCUCAAGCUCCAUGGAAUUCCCAUGUCCACUUGCACCACUCGUGUCCUCACCUGUCUCCAUGAGAAAGGCUUGGAUUUUGAGCUUGUCCCUGUUAAUCUCUUUGCAGGUGAACAUAAGCAGCCUCCUUUUCUUGCCAAGAAUGUGAGUCUCACUUUCUUCUUUCUUUCUAAUCAUCUCUCUUUCUUCUCUCUGUAGAUUUUGCUUUCUUUGGGGUUGUAUAAAUUAUGAUUUUCCUUGGUUUGGGUACAUUGUUUUUAAUGUACAGUCUCGUCGAUUUGAUUUUGGUCUUGGUUUUGUUAUACAUAUAUGCAGCCC
rnacentral:lncRNA from 1 species